GCAGAACCUUUCGUCUCUCUCAUCAGCAUCUCUUGGUCUCUCUCGUCUUUAGACCUAGAAAAAUCCGCCAUCGACGAAUUGUGCGACCUACUCCGACAAAGGAAUUCCUACGAAGGACAACCAUUUCGGCUAAUAUGAGCGAAUCUCAGAUGUAGAUUAUCGGUGUUUUUCCGUGUCUGUGGUUGUUCGCUUUCGCUAUUGUUUCGCCGCUUCUUCUGUUUUCUUUCUCUGAUUUGAUAGACAUGAGUCAAGAAAGACCUUCAAAACCCAAAAAAAAGACAAGCGCGACAUACACAAAACCUGGAACAAUGGCAUCUUUGGCAAACCAAAUAAGGACUUCGUUUAGCCAAAAAUAUGUUGUUCCCGCUAGACAAUCAAACAAGGAGCAGCCAAAUAUUAUUGAAGAGAAUCUGCCACAAUAUCUAGGAGCAGUAGCCCAUGUACAAACUAGAUCAACCACCUCUGCAAAAUAUGUUGUUCCUGCUAGACAAUCAAACAAAGAGCAUUCGAAUAUCAUCGAAGAGAAUCUGCUAGUGCCACAAUAUUCAGGAGUAGUAGCCCAUGUACAAACAAGAUCAACCACUCCUGCAACACAAGUAAUAGAGGAACAAGUUCAGUUGGAUUCUACAACUCCUAUCAAAGAUGAACAAUGUGAAGAACAAGUUUUCUUUGGUUCAAAUAGUUGAAGGCCCUUCUAAUCAAACAAAAAAAAGAGGUAAAACAAAGAUGAAAAGUAUACAUGGACGACAUGAGCGAAAUUGAUUUUACUUAACAACUUUAAUCAACCCGUCGGUCCUAGUGAAGACGUUGUGAUAGAGCUUGUAAGCUUCCUCGGCACAUUGGGAAGGAAUGCAACUCUAUGUCCUCUUGAUAUUUUGGAUUGGAGGAAGAUGGACACAAAAGAGGAUAUAUAUGGGAAUAUACCAAGGAUAAAUAUGAUAUUCCCGAAGCUGAGAAAAAAUAUAUUUUGGAAUCUGUUCAAGCUGCCUGGAGAAAGCACAAGAGUAGAUUGAAAAACGAUCACUUUGACGCCUAUAAAAAUGAUGAAGCUCGAAUGCAACAUAUCCCUGAAGAUGUUCCACAGUUUAAGGAACUCCUUAGGUACUGGAACUCUGAGAAACUCCAGACAAAACAGUGGAUGAACCUUCCCAACAUGUGUAAUUACCUAGCUACCUAGAGGCUUGAGGUGAUCUAGGAGAGAGCAAAGCAGUGAGCGCAUGGAGUAUACCAUGCUCUCCUAAAAGGGAAUGUUAUAUCAAGUAUGCAAAGGCAGAAGAAAUGGAUGUUAAAAUAAACAUUAUGAGAUAUACUCACAGUCAACACAUAGAUUUUCCAUUUUUCAGUCAUUAUACGGGCCAACCAGCUUGUUGUCCGAAAGUGCAACCAUCAGUAUAUCACAAGAAAACGACAAGGAAACUUCAGAUCCUUUAUCAGCAAAGGAAGUCUUUGUAGCUACAAGAAAAACAAAAGCUGGUUGAUCAUACAAGUCCUCGGAUGAAGAUACAACUAGCUGAAAUGGAGGAAAUUGAAGCACAACCAAACGAAAAUGGCAAUGAGUCCGUAGAGGCAUCUGCAUCUGUCAUGGACCUGAACAUCCAGGACGUCUGAGAUUGUAUGGACGGGGGUUACUAGAACUUUUUUGAGAGGGAAAGUAGGAUGUUUUCAAAGCUCUUCAAAUACUCAAAUUCUAUACAAAAAUUGGAGGAGUAGAUACAAAGAAUGGAGGAAAAAAUUGAGGAACAAAAGGCAACUAUCCGUCUAGAAGUUGUUGCAGAUGUCCUUGCACGACUUCAGCGUCCAGGAAUUGAUAUUGAUGCUAACAUUAUUCUAGCAGCAUUGGGUGAUAAUUCAUUGGGAGAAGCUUCAUCUGCUUAACAAACAGCAUUGCAACAAAUCCAUCGUCUAUCUACUGGUACCAACAAAGAAGGCCAACUCAUUCCAGGUGCAUCGAUUGCGGUUGAAAGCAGUAAUGAAGAACUUACUUGAGUUUUGUUGAUCGUUGUUAGAGUUUCCAUCAUGUUCAAGGAUAUUUUAGUUUAGAACUUUUUGUAUGCAAAUUAAAACUCAUCUGUUUUUGACUUUUGAAUUGUUGAUCAAACAAUGUAUUCAUAUUUUGUUUUUGUAUAUGAAUAAAGCGAGUUAGAUAUUUUAAUC